UACAGAGGUCUCGAGCGUUAGGCGGAAUCACUGGGCUUAAAGCGUGUGUAGGCGGACUUCUAAGUACCUUGUGAAAUCCCACGGCUCAACCGUGGAACUGCUGGGUAUACUGGGAGUCUUGAGCCACUUAGGGGUCAGCGGAACAAAUGGUGGAGCGGUGAAAUGCGUAGAUAUCAUUUGGAACGCCAAUGGUGAAAACAGCUGACUGGGAGUGUGCUGACGCUGAGACACGAAAGCUAGGGGAGCAAACGGG
rnacentral:rRNA from 1 species